GAGUAAGAAGCGAAGUUUUGCUAUCGGUUUCGACCCGAUCCUUGGUUUAUUUACCCUUACUCU
rnacentral:tRNA from 1 species